AUUGAACGCUGGCGGCAUGCCUUACACAUGCAAGUCGAACGGUAACGCGGGGCAACCUGGCGACGAGUGGCGAACGGGUGAGUAAUGCAUCGGAACGUGCCCAGUAGUGGGGGAUAGCCCGGCGAAAGCCGGAUUAAUACCGCAUACCCGACUACGGGUGAAAGCAGGGGAUCGCAAGACCUUGCGCUAUUGGAGCGGCCGAUGUCAGAUUAGGUUGUUGGUGGGGUAAAAGCCUACCAAGCCGACGAUCUGUAGCUGGUCUGAGAGGACGACCAGCCACACUGGGACUGAGACACGGCCCAGACUCCUACGGGAGGCAGCAGUGGGGAAUUUUGGACAAUGGGCGCAAGCCUGAUCCAGCCAUGCCGCGUGCGGGAAGAAGGCCUU
rnacentral:rRNA from 1 species